UCCGGUUUAGAGGUACUUACUACCAAUUCAGUGUGUAAAAUGUAGCAUUUAUCUUGUUCUGUGUUCAGUGCGCGGCAUUGAGGACGUCCUGUGUUUAUUCCUAGAGUUCUGGUUUGGACUUUUGCUUCCCACCUCAAAAGGUCAUCUGAGGAUCUUUUGGACAACGCAACAAACCAUAGAUUAGCUCAUGUCCAGCCUUCUGCCAAAUGUGACUUCAGCUCAGCCUCCGAUUGCCAGGAAAAGAGACGGAGGAGUCACGCAAAAACAGACUGAGAUUCAGCGGUAACAAAAAACAGUGAAGAGAAAUUUUCACGAUAGAGAUCUCAGAGGAAAGCGCACGCUGAUUGAAGAAGCCAUCUGGUUUUGCUAUUAAAGAAGUCGAUGUAGCCUUUUCUGUAAUCCACUUGUGGAGUAACAAACUGGCUACGCCUGCAGUAGAAAUUGUCAGUUAUCGUUUUGUCUCAAUUUCACAAUUAAAUGGGGUCCCGAAUUCAAUGCCCACGAUGGGCGUUGAAGUCCCAUGUUGGGCAACAUUGUUCACACCAAUGUUGGGUCAACAGGGAGUGGACUACCUGGUGCCUGGUUGACCAACAGCCCAAGGUCAAGCAGCAGGUGGUUUCCAGACCUGGCUCUAGAAGGGUUUGCCUUUACAAAUACGACUGCAUCUUAUGUUUUCUUCAUAAGAAGACUGGGCUUGUCGUGGCAUGUUUCACAAAACAUGUGUGUGUGGUUUGGGCACAGUAAAAUCUUUCCAUCUCAUAUUAGUAAUUAGACAACAUUUUGGAGCAAAAUAAAAUCUGUCACUCCAAAUAUUUAGAUUUAAUUCAUAGCCACUAAUAACUAAUCCCCCAUACACCACAAACUGUAGCCAAAAUACACAACGAUCUCUCUCUCUCUCUGCCUGUCUUUCCACCUCCUGUCCCCCCUGUAGUCUCUGUGUGUUAUGAUUAAGGGUCCACAUCACAGAAUCAAGUUACAGUCAGUUUUAGGGCUCAAGGGUGGGACGGAUUUUUCAGCAGUGAUGCAAAUACUUUUUAAAAGGAUUUUUUUUAGGCAGAUGGUAAGAGGAACUAAUAAUCUGGAUUCAAAAGAGAUCCCUGGGCACUGAUCAAAAAUUAUUGAAUGUGUUUUAUAAGGGCGAAAGCCCUCAAAAAAGCAUAUGAGGAAACAAGAGGAUUAUGUAUAAAUAACUGUUGAAGGAAGGUGAAAGGUAGAUCCAUUUGGCGUCAUUUUGUGUCUUGUCUCUGCUUCUUAAGUUAAAAUGACAAGGCCAAAACCGAUGUCAGCUGGCUAAAGUACAUCAACAAUUCAGCUUUUCGGCUUACUGAAAUUCCACAGUCAUGCGAUGCAAGUUACUGAAACCUCAAAAAGACAAGUUCUUCCUCAACUUUUUGGUCUGCACUGUACCAGAAUCAGCCCAGUGUCCAGGCAAAGACCUGCAUGCAUGCUCCCUGUUUGUGUAGCCAGGUCAUUUGGACCAGGAUGAAACGGAAAUCAGGGAUCAGAAGGGAAAAUGAGUGGAAAGAGAAGAGAGGGAGUUUGGAGUAGAAACAGGACUCCGAGUCCUGUUUGGAGUUUUAGAGGAGUCUCUCUGUUUUAGACUCCCCUAAAAGGGGAGUCCUGUUUUAGGACCAGGGAGUCCUAAAACAGUCAAAGCAGUGACAGAGGAGGAAGAUGGAUGGGUUGCCUAAAGUCCUUAUUUAAACCCACCAUGCAAUCAAUACCCUCCAAACAAUGGCUGUCCAUGAACAGAUCUAUCAUAGAAAGUGCUGUAAUACCAAUAAAGAUUUGUUUUUUCCUUUG